GAUGAACGCUGGCUACAGGCUUAACACAUGCAAGUCGAGGGGAAACGGCAUUGAGUGCUUGCACUGAAUGGACGUCGACCGGCGCACGGGUGAGUAACGCGUAUCCAACCUUCCCGUUACUGCGGGAUAACCUGCCGAAAGGCAGACUAAUACCGCAUGUUCUUCGAUGACGGCAUCAGAUUCGAAGCAAAGAUCCGUCGGUAACGGAGGGGGAUGCGUCGGAUUAGCUUGUUGGCGGGGCGACGGCCCACCAAGGCGACGAUCAGUAGGGGUUCUGAGAGGAAGGUCCCCCACAUUGGAACUGAGACACGGUCCAAACUCCUACGGGAGGCAGCAGUGAGGAAUAUUGGUCAAUGGGCGGAAGCCUGAACCAGCCAAGUAGCGUGCAGGAGGACGGCCCUACGGGUUGUAAACUGCUUUUAUGCGGGGAUAAAGUGAGGGACGUGUCCCUUUUUGCAGGUACCG
rnacentral:rRNA from 1 species